UCAACUAAGUUUGUUAUUGGUGUGAGCUUUCGUGUGCAUGCGAAGUGUAUCUGAAGAAGUGUGCACGCACACGAAAGCUCAAACCAAUAACAAACUUAGUUGG